UGGGGAAUAUUGCACAAUGGAGGGAACUCUGAUGCAGCGACGCCGCGUGAACGAAGAAGGCUUUCGAGUCGUAAAGUUCUUUUAUAUGGGAAGAUAAUGACGGUACCAUAAGAAAAAGCCCCGGCUAACUACGUGCCAGCAGCCGCGGUAAUACGUAGGGGGCUAGCGUUGUCCGGAAUCACUGGGCGUAAAGGGUUCGCAGGCGGAAUUGCAAGUCAGGUGUAAAAGGCAGUAGCUUAACUACUGUAAGCAUUUGAAACUGCAUAUCUUGAGAAGAGUAGAGGUAAGUGGAAUUUUUAGUGUAGCGGUGAAAUGCGUAGAUAUUAAAAAGAAUACCGGUGGCGAAGGCGGCUUACUGGGCUCAUUCUGACGCUGAGGAACGAAAGCGUGGGUAGCAAACAGG
rnacentral:rRNA from 1 species